GCUCACGUUAUUAUGUACAGAUUCAUUCUAUCAAUGUUACGUACUUACAAAUACAACAUUCACAGGUUCCCUUCAAUGCUGCGUCAGCAGUUGCUAUGGGAACAUCAAUAAAGCAGAGAGACCCAGUCUGUCAUACACAGAUAUCUUCCAAAGAUAGUUCCUUGGCCAGAGUUUGUAAAGAAGCAACACUCCUAGUAGAGUGCGCAUGUACACUUAAUGAAGCAAAACCUUUGCUACGGCUACUGAAGCAGACAAACAACUGGUCAGAUUUAUGCCAUUGGCUUGUACAGUCAAUGUAAAUCUUCAAAGCUCAAAACCUCAAAGACAAAGUCUAUGCAACCUCUCUUUCUCCUGCAACUCAUAGGUAGUGGGAGUGAAAGAUUGUAAAACAACAGCCUGCCAGCAUAGCGAAAAAAGAAAACACCUUGGGAGUGUUAGCAGGUUUUGACCAUUAUCUAGACUGGGAGCUAAAUCCUAACAUAAAGGGCUUACUGACAAAGCUUACAAGAGAACCAUCUUGAGAGUCAAAACCUCAUCCAAGGUUGAUUCUACAGGCUCAAAAGGAGGUCCUGUCAAAGCCUCCAGAUAUUCCAGAUUCCAAAUAUCAAAGCAUCUAGCAGGAUGGUUUUAUCCUUAGCCAGAGAUAGCAUUCGGUCACUACCAAACCCACCAUAGAAAGACCAGUGGCGUGAACUGUGUGCUUAGUAUUACAAAACGAAUCAAAGCAGACAUAGUCCUACAGGGUUUGAAUGGUAUAUUAGGCCUCAGUUUCCAUUAGAGGACUGACAGUGGUGAGAGAUAAGCCACUAAUGUCUCUUCCGUUGCCAACACCUCUGAAAACCCCUGCUCAGCCAUCUUAGAAGUGAAAACAGAGGCAGUCAUAAUAGUAAUCCGUGCAGAGAAAGCCUGGUUCCAGGACCUUGAAAUCUCACAGUGGAGAUCCUAUAAUUGUGGCAGCAGCCUGCAGAGCAAAUGGGCACUACGGCCUGCUAAAAAUCCGCUCAUCCAACUUGGAUUGAGCCCCUGGUGGGACGAACUCAUCCCAAUCCAGUUUAAGCCUGUCUACAACAUGAGAAAUUACAUCCAAAAGUUCAGUAUAAGCUAGAGAAGGGCAAAGGUCAGCCUGAACUCCUCAAAGUCAGAUGUAGCAGUGGAUCGCUUUAUGAGCUUCAGAACUUGGACACAAAUCCUCACAUGUAAACUCCACUGAGACAUAUUAAGUACACAAUCAGGAGGAAGAAAGAGCGAGAAAUCACAAGGCUAUCUGCCAAUAAAUUGGUGUGAUUGUAUAUGGGCUUCAGCCAAUCAUCACAUCAGCUGCUGACUUAGGGGUGAAGUGAACCUAUGAAAGGUGAAACAAAAACAUUUGUGACAUCAUUUGAUAUUAUGAAAACUAACUUCCCCAUAACUAUGUAUGUAGUAUUCAUUAUUGGUGUUGAUAGUUGGUGAUAUUGCAACUUUUUCUAACAUUUUGUACAAACAAUCUUACAACAUUUAUAGAGCUGAAUUUUUGUUGCUUGUGUGUGUGUGUGUUUUUUUUUUUUUUAUUAAGCCAACCAGCAACCAGGACUGGAAUCACAGAACUUCACCAACUCAAGGUCUGGGUCAUAAUUCAAAGGAGACAACACUGUUUGCUCUGAAACCAGAUAAUUGUUUGAGAAUUCUGUAUCUGUGUUCUAACCGAACAGCAUGGCCAAAGAUAUUAACAGCCAACUUUGAGCAUGACAGCUCCAUACAACUUCUUCCUCCUGGCCUACAGAACACAGGACAUUGAAGGCGGCAGAGAGCGAUGACUCCAGUCACACAAUAUCAACAAACUAAACAGGUCACUCGGUGUAACUUGGUAAUGCCUACGGUAAAUCUUGCAAUCUGUGUGUGCGUUACUCUGAAAACAAGUUGAUGUGUUCUCAUUAGAACAGCACAGCGAAUGACUUGCAGAGAAGUGUGAUUCCGUGUUUCUCUUGACGCUUGAGAAAUAUUUUUCACUCCCCUCUCAGGAAUGGAAGAAAUAGCAAUGUUAGGAAACUUAGAAAAACUUCAUAGGUUUUUCCUUAAAAGAAAAAGAAAAAAAAAAAAAGGAAAAUCAUGAACAUGGUAACUAUAACACACAUCUCUAUGCUAAGUCCUUUAACUCAACAUUCCAGAAUGAAAAAAGAAAAGAAAAAAAAUCCUGUUUGUUUGUUUUUUGUCUUUUUUCUUCUUUCUCUUGCUAUGUGCUAUUAAAGUGUAAAGUGGACUAGGAAUGCAUGUAAUCCAAGACCUUACACUGUUCACGAUAUCAAUGAGAGAUUGACAAUGAGGAUUUGUGCAUUAAUACUCGAGCAGAGAGAAUAUGAAGAAGAGGACGAAAGAAAUUCUAGAACAAGCCCAAACAUAAGACUCAGAUCAUCACAUAAGAAAUCACUUGGAAAACAAUGUCAGGUUCUGACCAAUCAGGUCUUUUUUAUUCAUUGUCCUUUCCAAAGUUUCAAGAAAUUGUCCUCAGGCUGCAGAUGGGGUGUUUUAACAACCAUUGUACGGUAUUGGCGAGUUGGAAUCUUGUGCAUUAUCUUUUUAUUUUGUUGUUCUAUUGUCGCCUUGCUAUGUUUGUAGAGCGUUUAACAUAUUUUUCUAUUCACAAUAUCUAUUUUUUUUCCACAUUGUUUGUAUAUAGAAAAAAUUAUAAACUGAAGUUUAUUUAUAUUUUUUAAUUCAAGUGUUUUUUUUUUAUUUUUUUGAAUUAUUGUAUUGAGUUCUGUUGUUUGUUUAUUACUAUUUUAAAUCCAUUGUUACUCUGUCACUUGUUUACAACCUUUUCUUUCUUUCUUUCUUUCUUUCUUUUUUUUUAAAUAUGUAUAUUUUGGUUGAACUUAUGUGUGAUGGUUUAAAAAUAGAUCAAAAGCAAUAGUGGAUGGUCGUCAGUCAGUAAAGAGCACAAUUGUUAGAUGUUUUUACAGUAGUGGUCAGAAGAGUGAUAUCUGUCUGUAAACCUGUAAUAUAUCUGUAAGGUUCAGGAUCACUGUCUAUUAGGUCAUUAAAAAGUGAUGCCCAGUCUCUUAUUAAUAACACAUUAGGUGUCAAAGCCAUGAUUUGUUUUAAAAGAUUUUUUUAUUAAAUAAUUAUAAUAAUUAAGAAAAACACAAAGCUAGUGGGAGAAAUAAGGGAUCUGCUUAGUGGAAUGUUGGAACUUUUAAGCGAGUAGAGAUUGCAUGUUCUGAAAAAAAAAAAAAUCUUGAUAUUGCUAUAUGUUCUAAUGGUAUGUGUGAAUGAUUUUGGAUGUGUGUAUGUAUGCAUCUACAUUUGUUAUCAUUCAAAAAAAAAAAAAAAAAAAAAAAUCUGAUCAACAACAGGAAAAGAAAUGUUUGGUCAGAGGACUUUAAUUUCAGACCUUCUAUGCAAUGAUUUUCUCAGCUGAGAAAAAUGGUUGUCAGAGUAUUGAAACAAAAUAAAACAACUAAAUCCAAGAAUAACUAGAUAGUAGUUUCAAAAAAGUUACUUGGGGGCCGAUUUGUUUGUAUAAGAGAAACUGUAAUGUAAAUACUCUAUCUGAAUGGAAUUUUUUUCCCCAUAUUUGUGGCAUGUUUCCCAUUUUGUGGCACUGUUUCAAAAUGGAGCCAAUUAGCCAUAGCGAUUAACAUAAACGUCAAUCAUUUCUCACUAUCCAUGGAUGGUUGCUGCUAGAUGAACGGCAUAUGAUGGGGGUCACCAUCCUUCAUGAUGCUUAGUUGCCUAUUGGUGCAAAACUUAUUAAUAGAAAAAUUACUAAAAUAAAGCAUAUGACAAAUAAAUGACAAAAAUAAAGCAGACAUCAUGAAAAAAAAAAAAAAAA